AAAAGGAAGGAGGUGAUUUUGCUUUUUAUACAUUUGAUAUUUUCUUGGGGUCCUGGAAAAGGAGGUAUUUCAGCAUGGAUUUGCAAAGGGACUUCUCACUUGUGUGACUGAGAGCAGGAAGGUCAGCUGUAGGUCAGCAUGGACUUUGUUCCAGGCUGUUAUUAUUCAGUGCUGUUCUUUCACACCUCCAUUCCCAUACAAAGCUGAUUUUUGCAUGCAGCGGAUCUUGGCAUUCACAAAAUAUGCUCUUCAAGCAAAAUAAACUGGUCUAGUCUUUGGAGACUGAGAGCCUCAGCAGGCUGUGGGGCAAAGAGUGAUCAAAGGAGACCUGGGAUGUUACAAGGAAGCAAUGGGCCAAAGAGAAGGGCAGCUGCAUCACUCUUAAAACAAGAAAGGAAUGAGGGGUCCUCACCGGAUGGCAGCUGCAGGACACCUAAAUCAGAAAAAGGGAAUUCAUUGCUCCCUUAUCAUCAGAAAACUAACUUCUUCCCACCUCGCUCAGACAGAAAAAGGAGGCCAAAACAAAGCUCUAGACUUUGUUUUCUGGGAAGGAUUGUGAUUCUAGUCUGAAGACAAAGUGGAAAGUUCAUUUACAAUUCCCUAAACUCAUGAAAAUAUUGGAAAAAAUUUAGCAGUUCCUGUACUGCCUCAGGGCCAGUAUGGGGCUAAGCAGGGCUGCUGGUGGCUGCAGUUUCUCACCCAGAAGUUUCUUCACCCUCCUGAGUAACUUGCAGGUGUGGCAGACCCAGACCCCGAGGUGUAAGAGGUUUGCAGCAGAGCAGUGGGUCAGGGCACUGGAGUGAACAGCUGGGGCCAGUCGAGGUGUGCAAGGUUUAUCUGCUUGGGACUGUGCUGAGAGUUCCCACUCUGACAGUGUUAACAAGUUUUGCCAUAAUUCACUUACACCUUGGAAACAGUUAAAGCAAUUUAACAGUAAACUUGGCAUAAUUACUAGUUAAUAGCCAGAGCUCCUAAAGUGUAAAUUGUUUUGGUAUUGAUCUAAGCUUACACUGUCAGCAUUUUGUAGAGACUGAACUUUAAGUGCUUAAUUCAGCUGUAUGCAACCAUUAAUUUUGUUUUUUAUCUGCAAACAAAGGUGCAAGUAGUUAUUCUAUUUUCCUGCAAUAAUAAAAUCAAUUAAACAGUUUUUCCCCAAACACAGAUGACCUUUGUAAGCAACACAUUUGAAAUGCCAACACGUGAGAAGAAAAUGAUGACAGGAUCUUGUGUUUAUUAACAAAAAUCGAGUACUUGACGGCAGAUUAACACUGUAGCUGCUGAGCCAGUCUUCCUUUACACUCAUUUCCAGGGGUGGAAGGUCUGUGGUCAGAUCUGUGUUCCACCAGCCUUCCUGCAGUUAAGCUUAUGCUUUUGUCUCAAAAACCUCUUCCAGUGUGGUUUGAUACUUAGUGCUGAAGGCAUUACCUCUUGGUGAACCCCAGCACAGAGAAGGGGAGGUCUGUGUCAGCUCAGAGGAGUGUGGGCAGAGCCAACACACACAUGAAUAUUUGGAGACAUCUUUGCAGGAUCAGUGCUCCAUCUCCAGAAUGGAGGAAUUGCACAGUCAGGAACAUUUACUAAUAGCAAUUGGUUGUUUAAUCCUUAUUAGCUUCUGAUCAGAUGUUUCUGGUUUGCUCUUUCAGGACUAUUUCCUUGAAUUUAAAAUCCAAUGUCUCAAUUAUUGAUGGAAGUUAACUUUUCCCAUCUGCCUUGGAGUGUGGGUGGUUACAGAAACAAGUUCAUUACCCAUGGAUGGAUGCAUUUAACUCUUUGCUGAGCACCAAGGUGUGUCCCUGUGCCCCCAGUGUCACAGCUCCCUUCUGAGCAGGUAUUGGUGGUGUGGCUCUUCCUGUGCAGCCAGCACUGGACAUGCAGAACUCUGGGCUCAUAAUCUUUUACCUGCUGUUGCACCAGACUGCCUGAAUGACAGUGUGACUGGCACUUCACAUCAUUUACAGCAUUUAUUCCUGAUAUCCACAAGGGCUGAUUCACGCUUUUCAAGUCUUUUCCUAGACCUCAUGAAGAAGGCAGUGAAACUGAUGAAGGACCAAUAAAUAUAACUAAAUAUAAAUGUGCUAUCAAACACAACUUUGGCUGGAUCUUUGUUAUUAAUCAAAUGUUCUCAGUGAUGAUGCUGCUGAGCUUGGGGUGUUACAACUGCAGCUGCCAUCCUAGAGAUCCCAGAGAGAACAAACAAUUCAUACCAUACCUAAAAUCCCAAGGAUCUUGUGAGAAAAAGAAGUGCCACAGAAACGUGGCACUGACAGAUGAAUUGUUAUUACCUGGCCACCAAACUGGAUGUGGGAAAGGGUCACUAAGAGGUUUGAUCUCAGCACACCAAUGUGGUCACUAAAUACCACUUAGAGUAGCAGUCAUUUCCUGGGCAACAGCAGAGCAAUGUGACCCUUAUUAAAAUAACCCCAUCAAUUGGAAAUCACUACUAUGGUUAUGUGGUUAUGAUUAUUAAGAUAAUUAAAAUAAAACAAGUUAGUAAAAGAUCCCAUUAAUUUUGACCUUGAAUAAUUAGGUUUCUAAUGCAUAGUAAGGCCAGUAAUAACAAGCUACCAUGAAAACAGAAUUUCAGAAGUUUUUCUUGCAGGCAGAAUUUAAAGGAAACACAUUGCUUUUUCCAGUGUAUUUAAUUUUCAGUGUGGAGUCUGCAAUGAGCUGCUAAUAAUCAUGCACUAUGCCAUCAGGGUUUUGCACCUAUUUACAUAUAAAUAGUUCAGACCUGACUUGGCUACCAACAGUGGUUAAUUUAAUUUAUUGUCCUUUGGCAAGUGAAUAGUCAUUGGUUUUCUAGCACUUUUAACCUUAGCAAACCCUUGGGAAAUAAAAUUUAGAUUGAAAGAAAAUUACUACUGGUGGAGAACAGCAAGAAAGUGACAGUAGUAUAUAUAAACCUCAGGCAGCAGCAGAAUAAAGUGUCAUAUUAUUGUAUGCUGUCUUCUAAAGUUCAAUAUUGCUUUCUUGAUUUACACUUCUGUAAUUUUUUCCAAGUAAGUCUUCCUGCUUUGGGGAGUUUUGCAUCUAACUUCAUGUUUUUCAGCCAGGAAGAAGGAUUAACCUACUUACCAUUAAAAAACACAUCAGAACUCAUCAGCAUAAGCCAGCAAUGUGCAACCACCAACAGCUGAAUGGGGUGACAGCUAUUGAGCACUGAUGACUGAGGAUCAGUGACACUAACUGAUCACCUCUCCUGUAGGAGAGACGCCUUGGGAGGGCCCAUUUUGGCCCCUGGGGUCAAACUGAAGCAUUGCUUCCCUCCUGCACAGGCACACCUGGCCCUGCCAGCUCUGCUGAGGGACCAGGGUGAAACUCUGCACUGCCCUGGAGCCCAGCUCGAGAGGGGCAGGAGGGUUGGAACAGCAGCAACCUCUACUGCACUAUUCCCAUGACAAAGAUUUUGGGGAAAAAAAUAAACAUUUUGGAAUUCCUGACAUGAAACUGCUGCACAAUUUAUUUUCUAGAAUUAAAAAAGUGAAUUAUGUCAGAUAGCAAGGAAAUUAGAGGUCUGUUUCAUGAAGCUCUGUUGUCAGAACCAAACAUAUCUGAACUCCAAAAACAUGGCAGCAGAUCUAGAAAAUGGGAAGUCCUGAAAUGUGGAAAGAAUUUAAUAAAAUUUUUAUAUCAAUGCAUCUUAAAGAAAGUAUUUUAUGUCAAUAUAUUUUAGGUGAAGUAUUUUUAUGCCACAAGUGUGUUACCAAUAGUGGAUUUUUUUCAUCCCACAGGAGAUUUUUGUUUAAAAAAAGAAAAUCAAUAACCAUUGUUCAAGAAAAUAAAUUCUGUUUUCAGCUUGAAAGUGAUUUCCUUUUCUGCACAUCUCCAAAAUCAUAUUUUGCUUCUCAGUCACCUUCAGAGAAUAAUUUCCAAAAAUAAACUUUUAU